AAAAAAUUUGUUCUCUUUUUGCCCUAAAUUUCAUCUUCGUUCAUCACUAAGGAACGAACUCUUCAUAUUGGCACCACCGAUUCUCCAUCUCUACCGGCACCGUCGAUUCUCCAUCUCCACCGGCACCACCGACUCUCCUCCUCUCCACCGACACCGCCAACUGUCCUCCUGCAGGGUUGUUCCUUUUUCAUUUGAGAGAAUUUGAAGGUAGAAUUCCAAAUUUAUGUACCCAGUUACUUAAGAGAUUGAGCAAAGGCUAACGGUUGAGAUUGAGCAAAGGGUCACUGAGAAGUUGAAGGUAGAGUUUGAACAAAUUAGAGCUUGGAUGGACUUCAUAGGGUCCCAAGGCGGCCUAAGUGGUAUACAGCUUCCAAAUGCCUCUAGUGAACGUUAACAAGUCAGGAAGUCUGUAGGAGAUCAUGACAGUCAUGAUGAUGAGUUAUUGGGUUCUCCUAUGCAGGUAUCUCUAUUACAUAAUGUAAUAUUCACAAUCACACAUAGUUGAGGUUAAGGGUUAGCCUACUGAAAACCCGAUUUAGUGUUAUUGUUGCUGUUGAACCUAUUUUCCUGAUGUUGAACCUAAAGUAAGACUGAUUAGUGUUGAACCUAUUUUGCAUUUCUUAAUAGUGUUGAACCUAUUUUGCAUUCCUUUUGAGCAGCCAUCAACAUUUAAUUUCAGCUUUCCUACAAGUGGACAAAACCAUUUGAUUUGUCUAUGAUGCGAGAGAUUCGGGUGGAGGAUAGAUUGGAAGGCCUCAUCAAUCUCAUGGACAUAAUUUCUUAUGUUCUUGAGACUGAUUUGAAUAGGGGUAAUUUGGCUUUCAAAAAUAAGUUUGUUUCAAUCUUUCCAUAACUGCCAAAGGUAACAAUGAAAAUAGUAUACCAUUUUUUUACCAAAAAACUCAGUUUUUUUUUUUUUUUCAAAUUCUCAGCAACCCAUUCAAAAGAGGCUGACCACAUCCAGCCUCCCACCAUUUAGUGUCCUUUAUUUGAACCCAAAUGUAUUUCGAGGAGUUGCACUCUCUAAGGAGAUGAUUCAUGUCUUCACUAGCUAAUCCACAACUGGAGCACAGGUCAGUUGAGGCCAUAUUCCUUAUGAGUCUCAUAUGAUUAGUGAGCAACCUUCCCUUAAGAAUAAGCUAGAUGAAAGUUUUCAGCUUUUGAGGAACUUUGAGUUUCCAGAUCCAGUUCCAAUCCCCACUACUCAUGACCUGAUUAGCAAUAAGUUAUAGGCAGCAGUAGUAGUGAACUUACCAUUAGUGGAACCAACCCAAAAAGGAGCAUCUGUGAAUGUCACAAAUCUAGGCCUACGGAUUUUGAGAAUUUCUAGUAUGGUCUGAGAGCAGACCAAGUUUUCCAGCACGACAAUGUCCUAAUUGCCUUCACUGUCUAGCACUGAGCUAGACAAUUUGAUUAUAAUCUAGACAAUUUGAUUAUAUUUAGUGAGGCCCAAUAGUAUUAGCUAGGGAGUGUCCUGCUAAAAUUGAGUUUAUGACUUGGUAAAGCUAUAUAUAUUAUAUAACCUAAUAUUUGAUUUAAUCUGUUUUUGUUUUUGUUUUUGUUUUUAGGUUUUGCAUGCAUUAAUGACUAAUAAAUAGAUGAAUUAAUGGUGGCAUGGAAGCUAAUUUUAUUUUUGGACAUAUUAUAUUGUGGUUUCAAAUGUCAAGC